rnacentral:tRNA from 1 species
UCCCUAGUGGCUCAGCUGGUAAAGUAUCUGCCUGCAAUGCGGGAAACCUGGGUUCGAUCCCUGGGUUGGGAA